GAGGAUAUCCGAUAGCUGGUUUGUUUUCUGAACUGUUCAGAUAACUUGCAUGAUGAUUGGUCAUGAAAUUAUUUCAAUGCCAUUCUCCACCAAUCUCUAGAAGUAUAGUAAUUGUCAGUUAGUGACUCAAGAAUGAUAACUUCAUUAUAUAAUAAGCUCAUACUGGUGAAUCAAGAAGCCUAGAAAAGUAUUGGUAGGUUCAUAAGUUAAUACUGGUGAAUCAAGUAGCCCAGAAAAGUAUUGGUAGGUUCAUAAGUUAAUACUGGUGAAUCAAGUAGCCCAGAAAAGUAUUGGUAGGUUCAUAAGUUAAUACUGGUGAAUCAAGUAGCCCAGAAAAGUAUUGGUAGGUUCAUAAGUUAAUACUGGUGAAUCAAGUAGCCCAGAAAAGUAUUGGUAGGUUCAUAAGUUAAUACUGGUGAAUCAAGUAGCCCAGAAAAGUAUUGGUAGGUUCAUGAGUUAAUACUGGUGAAUCCAGUAGCCCAGAAAA